rnacentral:rRNA from 1 species
AACGAACGCUGGCGGCAGGCUUAACGCAUGCAAGUCGAACGCAUCGCAAGAUGAGUGGCAGACGGGUGAGUAACGCGUGGGAACAUACCCUUUUCUACGGAAUAGCUCUGGGAAACUGGAAUUAAUACCGUAUACGCCCUACGGGGGAAAGAUUUACCGGGGAAGGAUUGGCCCGCGUUGGAUUAGCUAGUUGGUGGGGUAAAGGCCUACCAAGGCGACGAUCCAUAGCUGGUCUGAGAGGAUGAUCAGCCACAUUGGGACUGAGACACGGCCCAAACUCCUACGGGAGGCAGCAGUGGGGAAUAUUGGACAAUGGGCGCAAGCCUGAUCCAGCCAUGCCGCGUGAGUGAUGAAGGCCUUAGGGUUGUAAAGCUCUUUCACCGAUGAAGAUAAUGACGGUAGUCGGAGAAGAAGCCCCGGCUAACUUCGUGCCAGCCGCCGCUGUAA